rnacentral:rRNA from 1 species
AAUCACUUGUCUUUUAAAUGAAGACCUGUAUGAAUGGCAAGACGAGGGCUUAACUGUCUCCUUUUUCCAGUCAAUGAAAUUGAUCUUCCCGUGCAGAAGCGGGAAUAGACCCAUAAGACGAGAAGACCCUAUGGAGCUUCAGACAAUAGAACCGCCCACGUCAAACAUCACAAGAUAAAGCUGAGUAAACUAACUGGCCCCUGUCCUAAUGUCUUCGGUUGGGGCGACCAUGGGGAACCACAAAACCCCCACGUGGAAUGAGAGCACCCCCCCCCCCCCC